rnacentral:rRNA from 1 species
GGCUUGCCCAUGGAUUCGAGUGGCGCACGGGUGAGUAACGCGUGGGUAACCUGCCCUUGAAUCUGGGACAACAGUUCGAAAGGACGGCUAAUACCGGAUGAGCUCUAUGCUUCAGCGAUGCGGCAUAAAGGAAGAAAGACGGUCGAAUUAUGGCUGUCGUUCAUGGAGGGGCCCGCGUUCUAUUAGCUUGUUGGUGGGGUAAUGGCCUACCAAGGCUAUGAUAGAUAACCGGCUUGAGAGAGUGGUCGGUCACACUGGAACUGAGACACGGUCCAGACUCCUACGGGAGGCAGCAGUAGGGAAUAUUCCGCAAUGGGCGAAAGCCUGACGGAGCGACGCCGCGUGUGUGAUGAAGGCCUUCGGGUUGUAAAACACUGUUGGAGAAGGAAGAAGUGCAUAGGGAGUAACUGCCUUAUGUUUGACGGUACUUUUCGAGGAAGCCCCGGCUAAUUACGUGCCAGCAGCCGCGGUAAUACGUAAGGGGCAAGCGUUGUCCGGAUUCACUGGGCGUAAAGGGCGCGUAGGCGGCGAUACAAGUCAGAGGUGAAAGCUAUGGGCUCAACCCAUAAACUGCCUUUGAAACUGUAUUGCUUGAAUAUUGCAGAGGAAAGUGGAAUUCAUGGUGUAGCGGUGAAAUGCGUAGAUAUCAUGGAGAACACCUAUGGCGAAGGCAGCUUUCUGGGCAAAUAUUGACGCUGAGGCGCGAAAGCUAGGGUAGCGAACAGGAUUAGAUACCCUGGUAGUCCUAGCUGUAAACGUUGAGUACUAGGUGCUGGGAGUAAAAUUUCAGUGCCGGCGCAAACGCAAUAAGUACUCCGCCUGGGGACUACGGCCGCAAGGCUAAAACUCAAAGGAAUUGACGGGGGCCCGCACAAGCGGUGGAGCAUGUGGUUUAAUUCGAUGCAACGCGGAAUACCUUACCAAGCCUUGACAUCCCCGGACCGCCUAUGAAAGUAGGUUUUCAGAGCAAUCUGACUGGGAGACAGGUGGUGCAUGGCUGUCGUCAGCUCGUGUCGUGAGAUGUUGGGUUAAGUCCCGCAACGAGCGCAACCCCUAUCGUUAGUUACCAUCAUUAAGUUGGGGACUCUAACGAGACUGUCCGUAAUAAGCGGGAGGAAGGUGGGGACGACGUCAAGUCAUCAUGCCCCUUACGGCUUGGGCUACACACGUGCUACAAUGGCUGGUACAGAGAGCAGCGAGAUCGCAAGAUUGAGCCAACCUCCAAAGCCAGCCCAAGUUCAGACUGGGGAUUGAAACUCAUCCCCAUGAAGUCGGAAUCGCUAGUAAUCGUGAAUCAGCAUGUCACGGUGAUACGUUCCCGGGCCUUGUACACACCGCCCGUCACACCACCUGAGUUGGGUGCACCCGAAGUCGCUCAUCCAACCCCAUUGGGGAGGAAGGUGCCUAAGGUGUGCCUGGUCAACGGGGGUGAAGUC